ACGAACGCUGGCGGCGUGCUUAACCCAUGCAAGUCGAACGGAAAGGCCCUGCUUUUGUGGGGUGCUCGAGUGGCGAACGGGUGAGUAACACGUGAGUAACCUGCCCUUGACUUUGGGAUAACUUCAGGAAACUGGGGCUAAUACCGGAGAGGAGCUCCUGCUGCAUGGUGGGGGUUGGAAAGUUUCGGCGGCUGGGGAUGGACUCGCGGCUUAUCAGCUUGUUGGUGGGGUAGCGGCUUACCAAGGCUUUGACGGGUAGCCGGCCUGAGAGGGUGACCGGCCACAUUGGGACUGAGAUACGGCCCAGACUCCUACGGGAGGCAGCAGUGGGGAAUAUUGCACAAUGGGCGGAAGCCUGAUGCAGCAACGCCGCGUGCGGGAUGACGGCCUUCGGGUUGUAAACCGCUUUCGCCUGUGACGAAGCGUGAGUGACGGUAAUGGGUAAAGAAGCACCGGCUAACUACGUG
rnacentral:rRNA from 1 species